GAUGAACGCUAGCGGCAGGCUUAAUACAUGCAAGUCGAGGGGCAGCAUAGUGUAGCAAUACAUGGGUGGCGACCGGCAAACGGGUGCGGAACACGUACAGAACCUUCCUUCGAGCGGGGAAUAGCCCAGCGAAAUUUGGAUUAAUACCCCAUAGUAUAUUGUGGUGGCAUCACUAUAAUAUUAAAGAUUUAUCACUUGAAGAUGGCUGUGCGUCUGAUAAGGUAGUUGGUGAGGUAAUGGCUCACCAAGCCAGCGAUGAGUAACUGGUGUGAGAGCACGACCAGUCACACGGGCACUGAGACACGGGCCAGACUCCUACGGGAGGCAGCAGUAAGGAAUAUUGGUCAAUGGACGCAAGUCUGAACCAGCCAUGCCGCGUGGAGGAUGAAGGUCCUCUGGAUUGUAAACUUCUUUUAUCUGGGACGAAAAAGGGCCUUUCUAGGUCAACUGACGGUACCAGAUGAAUAAGCACCGGCUAACUCCGUGCCAGCCGCCGCAGUAAGAC
rnacentral:rRNA from 1 species